UAGGGAAUUUUCCGCAAUGGGCGAAAGCCUGACGGAGCAACGCCGCGUGAGGGAUGAAGGUUUUCGGAUCGUAAACCUCUGUCUUCAGGGACGAUAAUGACGGUACCUGAGGAGGAAGCCACGGCUAACUACGUGCCAGCAGCCGCGGUAAUACGUAGGUGGCGAGCGUUGUCCGGAGUUACUGGGCGUAAAGGGCGUGUAGGCGGCUAUUUAAGUCAGAUGUGAAAAUCCCGGGCUUAACCUGGGGACUGCAUUUGAGACUGGAUGGCUUGAGGAUCGGAGAGGGCAGUGGAAUUCCCAGUGUAGCGGUGAAAUGCGUAGAUAUUGGGAGGAACACCAGUGGCGAAGGCGACUGCCUGGACGACACCUGACGCUGAGGCGCGAAAGCUAGGGUAGCAAACGGG
rnacentral:rRNA from 1 species